UACGUAGGGUGCGAGCGUUGUCCGGAAUUAUUGGGCGUAAAGAGCUUGUAGGCGGUCUGUCGCGUCUGCUGUGAAAAUCCGGGGCUCAACCCCGGACUUGCAGUGGGUACGGGCAGACUAGAGUGUGGUAGGGGAGACUGGAAUUCCUGGUGUAGCGGUGAAAUGCGCAGAUAUCAGGAGGAACACCGAUGGCGAAGGCAGGUCUCUGGGCCACUACUGACGCUGAGGAGCGAAAGCUAGGGGAGCAAACGGG
rnacentral:rRNA from 1 species